rnacentral:rRNA from 1 species
UACGUAGGGUGCGAGCGUUAAUCGGAAUUACUGGGCGUAAAGCGUGCGCAGGCGGUUCGCCGUGUCCGAUGUGAAAGCCCCGGGCUUAACCUGGGAAUGGCAUUGGAAACUGGAAGGCUAGAGUGUGGCAGAGGGGGGUGGAAUUCCACGUGUAGCAGUGAAAUGCGUAGAUAUGUGGAGGAACACCGAUGGCGAAGGCAGCCCCCUGGGCUAACACUGACGCUCAUGCACGAAAGCGUGGGGAGCAAACAGG